AUUGAACGCUGGCGGCAUGCCUUACACAUGCAAGUCGAACGGUAACAGGUCUUCGGAUGCUGACGAGUGGCGAACGGGUGAGUAAUACAUCGGAACGUGCCCGAUCGUGGGGGAUAACGCAGCGAAAGCUGUGCUAAUACCGCAUACGAUCUACGGAUGAAAGCGGGGGAUCGCAAGACCUCGCGCGGACGGAGCGGCCGAUGGCAGAUUAGGUAGUUGGUGGGAUAAAAGCUUACCAAGCCGACGAUCUGUAGCUGGUCUGAGAGGACGACCAGCCACACUGGGACUGAGACACGGCCCAGACUCCUACGGGAGGCAGCAGUGGGGAAUUUUGGACAAUGGGCGCAAGCCUGAUCCAGCCAUGCCGCGUGCAGGAUGAAGGCCUUCGGGUUGUAAACUGCUUUUGUACGGAACGAAAAGCUCUCUCUAAUACAGGGGUGAAUGACGGUACCGUAAGAAUAAGCACCGGCUAACUACGUGCC
rnacentral:rRNA from 1 species